rnacentral:rRNA from 1 species
AAUGAACGUUGGCGGCGUGGAUUAGGCAUGCAAGUCGAGCGCGAUAUGUAGCAAUACAUGGAAAGCGGCGAAAGGGAUAGUAAUACGUAGAUACGUACCCUCGGGUCAGGGAUAGCCCACCGAAAGGUGGAGUAAUACCUGAUGAUGUCUUCGGACCAAAGAUUUAUUGCCCGUGGAUCGGUCUGCGCCCUAUUAGUUAGUUGGUGGGGUAAUGGCCUACCAAGACCAAGAUGGGUAGCGGGUGUGAGAGCACGACCCGCAUCACUGGGACUGAGACACUGCCCAGACACCUACGGGAGGCAG